UACGGGGGGAGCAAGCGUUGUUCGGAUUUACUGGGCGUAAAGGGCGCGUAGGCGGUCGUGACAAGUCACUUGUGAAAUCUCCGGGCUUAACUCGGAACGGUCAAGUGAUACUGUCGGACUAGAGUACAGAAGGGGCAACUGGAAUUCUCGGUGUAGCGGUGAAAUGCGCAGAUAUCAGGAGGAACACCGGUGGCGAAGGCGGGUCUCUGGGCCGAUACUGACGCUGAGGAGCGAAAGCCUAGGGGAGCAAACGGG
rnacentral:rRNA from 1 species